UACAGAGACCUCAAGCGUUAUCCGGAAUCAUUGGGCGUAAAGCGUACCGAUAGGUGGUUUCGAUAGUCAGAUGUGAAAUUCCAAGGCUCAACCUUGGGACUGUCAUUUGAAACUUCUAGACUAGAGGGGCAAAGAGGAAGCUGGAACGAACGGUGUAGUAGUGAAAUGCGUUGAUAUCGUUCGGAACACCAAUAGCGAAGGCAGGCUUCUGGGUGCCACCUGACACUGCUAGGACGAAAGCGUGGGGAGCGAAUGGG
rnacentral:rRNA from 1 species